UACGUAGGUGGCAAGCGUUGUCCGGAUUUACUGGGCGUAAAGAGCGCGCAGGCGGUCGAAUAAGUCGAAUGUGAAAGCCCCCGGCUUAACUGGGGAGGGUCAUUCGAUACUGCUCGACUUGAAGGCAGGAGAGGGUAGUGGAAUUCCUGGUGUAGCGGUGAAAUGCGCAGAUAUCAGGAGGAACACCGAUGGCGAAGGCAGCUCGCUGGGACGGUACUGACGCUGAGGCGCGAAAGCGUGGGGAGCAAACAGG
rnacentral:rRNA from 1 species